rnacentral:rRNA from 1 species
UACGGAGGGUCCAAGCGUUAUCCGGAAUCAUUGGGUUUAAAGGGUGCGUAGGCGGCCCGUUAAGUCAGUGGUGAAAGCCUCCAGCUCAACUGGAGAACUGCCAUUGAUACUGGCGGGCUUGAGUACAGACGAGGUUGGCGGAAUUGAUUGUGUAGCGGUGAAAUGCAUAGAUACAAUCAAGAACACCGAUUGCGUAGGCAGCUAACUAGGCUGUAACUGACGCUGAGGCACGAAAGCGUGGGGAGCGAACAGG